rnacentral:misc_RNA from 1 species
GUUUUCCUAUCCAUCCCAGCUUUCUGUUCAUUUUGGUCGUCGGAAGAGGCGGUUCUGAUCAGCUACCCCAUGCCUGAGUUGACUCAGCCGGAGGUCUACUCGCCCAGGACUCUGCAGGUGUGGAAGACGCUGUUGAACUGGUUGGCUUUCUUCUUCCAGAUCUUCGUUCAGAUCCUCAGAGCUUUUGGACACCUUCGCCUUCUUUCUUCUGAUUCUUCUUCUGAUUCUUCGUCUCCGUCUUUUAAGCCUUUGCCGGUCGUUGAACUUCCUGACCAUGAGUUGCUCGCCGCUUCCGCCGUUGAUAUCGCUUCUGUUGAAGAUGAGGAGGAGUCCGAUGGGCUUAUGGAGAAACUGACGAUAGUUCUCG